rnacentral:rRNA from 1 species
AGAGUUUGAUCCUGGCUCAGGUUGAACGCUGGCGGUAUGCUUAACACAUGCAAGUCGAACGAAGUUUGGGUGGCAACACUUAAACUUAGUGGCGGACGGGUGCGUAACGCGUAAGAACCUACCUUUUGGAAGGGGAUAACAAUGGGAAACUGUUGCUAAUACCCUAUACAGCUGAGGAGCGAAAGGUGAAAACCACCAAAAGAGGGGCUUGCGUCUGAUUAGCUAGUUGGGGAGGUAAUGGCUUCCCAAGGCCAUGAUCAGUAGCUGGUCUGAGAGGAUGAUCAGCCACACUGGGACUGAGACACGGCCCAGACUCCUACGGGAGGCAGCAGUGAGGAAUUUUCCGCAAUGGGCGAAAGCCUGACGGAGCAAUACCGCGUGGAGGAUGAAAGCCCGUGGGUCGUAAACUCCUUUUCUCAGAGAAGACAAAAGGACGGUAUCUGAGGAAUAAGCUCCGGCUAACUCUGUGCCAGCAGCCGCGGUAAUACAGGGGGAGCAAGCGUUAACCGGAAUGAUUGGGCGUAAAGCGUCUGUAGGUGGCUUUUUAAGUCUACUGUCAAAACCCAGAGCUUAACUUUGGACCGGCAGUGGAAACUGAGGAGCUUGAGUGCGGUAGAGGCAGAGGGAAUUCCUAGUGGAGCAGUGAAAUGCGUAGAGAUUAGGAAGAACACCCGAGGCGAAGGCGCUCUGCUGGGCCGCAACUGACACUGAGAGACGAAAGCUAGGGGAGCAAAUGGGAUUAGAUACCCCAGUAGUCCUAGCCGUAAACGAUGGAAACUAAGUGCUGUCACUCAACAGUGCUGUAGCUAACGCGUUAAGUUUCCCGCCUGGGGAGUACGCUCGCAAGAGUGAAACUCAAAGGAAUUGACGGGGACCAGCACAAGCGGUGGAUUAUGUGGUUUAAUUCGAUGCAACGCGAAGAACCUUACCAGGGUUUGACAUGGCAAGAAUCUCCUUGAAAGGGGGGAGUGCCUGAAAAGGAACUUGUACACAGGUGGUGCACGGCUGUCGUCAGCUCGUGUCGUGAGAUGUAUGGUUAAGUCCCAUAACGAGCGCAACCCUUGUCUCUAGUUGUUUUCUCUAGAGAGACUGCCAGUGUAAGCUGGAGGAAGGAGAGGAUGACGUCAAGUCAGCACGCCCCUUACACCCUGGGCGACACACGUAAUACAAUGGUCGGGACAAUCUGUAGCAACCUCGCGAGAGUUCGCCAACCGGGAAAACCCGACCUCAGUUCGGAUUGUAGGCUGCAACUCGCCUGCAUGAAGCCGGAAUCGCUAGUAAUCGCCGGUCAGCCAUAUGGCGGUGAAUACGUUCCCUGGUCUUGUACACACCGCCCGUCACAUCGCGAAAGCAAAUUUCACUCGAAGUC